rnacentral:rRNA from 1 species
GCACAAGCGGAGGAAACAUUGUUGGUUUAAUUCGAUGAUACGCGAGGAACCUUACCUGGGACCUAAAUGUAGAGUGCUAUUUUUUAGAGAUAGAAAUUCCCUUCGGGGCUUUCUGCAAGGUGCUGCAUGGUUGUCGUCAGCUCGUGCCGUGAGGUGUCGGGUUAAGCCCCAUAACGAGCGCAACCCUUAUCGUUAGUUGCCAUCUGGUAAUGCAGGGGACUCUAGCGAAACUGCCACCGUAAGGUGAGAGGAAGUGGGAUGACGUCAAAUCAGCACGGCCCUUAUGUCCAGGGCUACACACGUGUUACAAUGGUCGGUACAGAGGGCAGCUACCUGGUGACAGGAUGCUAAUCUCGAAAACCGGUCUCAGUUCGGAUCGAAGUCUGCAACUCGACUUCGCGAAGCUGGAUUCGCUAGUAAUCGCGCAUCAGCUAUGGCGCGGUGAAUACGUUCCCGGGCCUU